rnacentral:rRNA from 1 species
UACGUAGGCAGCGAGCGUUGUUCGGAGUUACUGGGCGUAAAGAGUGCGUAGGCGGUUUUCUAAGUUUGGUGUGAAAUCUCCCGGCUUAACUGGGAGGGUGCGCUAAAGACUGCCUGGCUCGAGUGUGGGAGAGGAAAGCGGAAUUCCAGGUGUAGCGGUGAAAUGCGUAGAUAUCUGGAGGAACACCGGUGGCGAAGGCGGCAUCCUGGACCGGUAUUGACACUGAGGCGCGAAAGCCAGGGGAGCAAACGGG